GUGGGGAAUAUUGGACAAUGGGCGAAAGCCUGAUCCAGCCAUGCCGCGUGUGUGAAGAAGGUCUUCGGAUUGUAAAGCACUUUAAGUUGGGAGGAAGGGCAUUAACCUAAUACGUUAGUGUUUUGACGUUACCGACAGAAUAAGCACCGGCUAACUUCGUGCCAGCAGCCGCGGUAAUACGAAGGGUGCAAGCGUUAAUCGGAAUUACUGGGCGUAAAGCGCGCGUAGGUGGUUCGUUAAGUUGGAUGUGAAAGCCCCGGGCUCAACCUGGGAACUGCAUCCAAAACUGGCGAGAUAGAGUACGGUAGAGGGUGGUGGAAUUUCCUGUGUAGCGGUGAAAUGCGUAGAUAUAGGAAGGAACACCAGUGGCGAAGGCGACCACCUGGACUGAUACUGACACUGAGGUGCGAAAGCGUGGGGAGCAAACAGGAUUAGAAACCCCAGUAGUCC
rnacentral:rRNA from 1 species